rnacentral:rRNA from 1 species
AUUGAACGCUGGCGGCAGGCCUAACACAUGCAAGUCGAACGAGUGGCGGACUGGUGAGUAAUGUCUUGGAAACUGCCUGAUGGAGGGGUAUAACUACUGGAAACGGUAGCUAAUACCGCAUACCAUCAGAUGUGCCCAGGUGGGAUUAGCUAGUUGGUGGGGUAACGGCUCACCAAGGCUACGAUCCCUAGCUGGUCUGCGAGGAUGACCAGCCACACUGGAACUGAGACACGGUCCAGACUCCUACGGGAGGCAGCAGUGGGGAAUAUUGGACAAUGGGCGAAAGCCUGAUGCAGCCAUGCCGCGUGUAUGAAGAAGGCCUUCGGGUUGUAAAGUACUUUCAGCGGGGAGGCGUUACCUGAAGAAGAAGCACCGGCUAACUCCGUGCCAGCAGCCGCGGUAAUAC